rnacentral:rRNA from 1 species
GAUGAACGCUGGCGGCGUGCUUAACACAUGCAAGUCGAACGGUGAAGGCGGAGCUUGCUCUGCUGGAUCAGUGGCGAACGGGUGAGUAACACGUGAGCAAUCUGCCCCUGACUCUGGGAUAAGCGCUGGAAACGGCGUCUAAUACUGGAUACGAGCUGCGAAGGCAUCUUCAGCAGCUGGAAAGAACUUCGGUCAGGGAUGAGCUCGCGGCCUAUCAGCUUGUUGGUGAGGUAACGGCUCACCAAGGCGUCGACGGGUAGCCGGCCUGAGAGGGUGACCGGCCACACUGGGACUGAGACACGGCCCAGACUCCUACGGGAGGCAGCAGUGGGGAAUAUUGCACAAUGGGCGAAAGCCUGAUGCAGCAACGCCGCGUGAGGGACGACGGCCUUCGGGUUGUAAACCUCUUUUAGCAGGGAAGGAGCGAAAGUGACGGUACCUGCAGAAAAAGCGCCGGCUAACUACGUG